AGGUCAGGCGGGACUACCCGCUGAGUUUAAGCAUAUCAAUAGCCGGAAGGAA
rnacentral:rRNA from 1 species